AUUGAACGCUGGCGGCAUGCCUUACACAUGCAAGUCGAACGGCAGCACGGGAGCAAUCCUGGUGGCGAGUGGCGAACGGGUGAGUAACGUAUCGGAACGUACCAUUCAGUGGGGGAUAACGUAGCGAAAGUUACGCUAAUACCGCAUAUUCUGUGAGCAGGAAAGCAGGGGAUCGCAAGACCUUGCGCUGAUUGAGCGGCCGAUAUCAGAUUAGCUAGUUGGUGAGGUAAAGGCUCACCAAGGCGACGAUCUGUAGCGGGUCUGAGAGGAUGAUCCGCCACACUGGAACUGAGACACGGUCCAGACUCCUACGGGAGGCAGCAGUGGGGAAUUUUGGACAAUGGGCGCAAGCCUGAUUCAGCCAUGCCGCGUGAGUGAAGAAGGCCUUCGGGUUGUAAAGCUCUUUCGGCCGGGAAGAAAUCGCAUGGGUUAAUACCCUGUGCGGAUGACGGUACCGGCAUAAGAAGCACCGGCUAACUACGUGCCAGCAGCCGCGGUAAGAC
rnacentral:rRNA from 1 species